UACGGAGGGUGCAAGCGUUAAUCGGAAUUACUGGGCGUAAAGAGUGCGUAGGUGGUUUUGUGUGUUAGAUGUGAAAGCCCAUGGGCUUAACCUGUGAAUUGCAUUUAAAACUGCAGGACUAGAGUGUUGUAGAGGGUGGCGGAAUUUCCAGUGUAGCGGUGAAAUGCGUAGAUAUUGGAAGGAACACCAGUGGCGAAGGCGGCCCACCUG
rnacentral:rRNA from 1 species